rnacentral:rRNA from 1 species
UACGUAGGGGCCAAGCGUUGUCCGGAUUUAUUGGGCGUAAAGAGCUCGUAGGCGGUUCGGCAAGUCGAAUGUGAAAUCUCCACGCUCAACGUGGAGGGGUCAUUCGAAACUGCCGUGACUCGAGUCCGGUAGGGGAGUGUGGAAUUCCCGGUGUAGCGGUGAAAUGCGUAGAUAUCAGGAGGAACACCGGUGGCGAAGGCGGGUCUCUGGGCCGAUAUCGACGCUGAGGAGCGAAAGCGUGGGGAGCGAACAGG